CAGUGAAACGGUUGCGUUUUGAUGGAACAAUAAAUAGCCUGCAGUCAUUUACGUCUCUCUGCUCCCGGAGUCCUCUUCUACUGCGAGACCCUCUAUGGCUUCUUUUGUCCAGAAACUUGUAAGAAAAUCAUUGCCCACAAGAGUUAUCACCGCAUUAAAUAACAAGCCACAAGCAUCAAAUCUCUUGAUUCAUCAUCCCCAUGUUGGCGAAACCAAGGUAAACUUUCUCACUCCCUACACAAUCAAUCAAAUCCUCUUCUUCGGUUCACCUAAAGCAUCCGAUGCCGUGCAUAUGUACCCAAGUUUUCCAUUUGGGUUUUGUUUAAACCCAAUUUCAUUAACUGGGUUGGUUCAAUCUGAACCGAACGACGUCACAUUGGGUGAUUCCCAGACGGUUUGGGCUGAUAGUGUAAAGAAAAAGCGGAAGAGGAAAAUGAACAAGCACAAGUACAAGAAGCUGAGGAAGCGUCUUCAAAGACAGACCUAGAUUCAUUAGGGAGUGUCGGGGGAUCUUCUACGAGAUGAGCAGUGAAUAAUCAAAGGAACCAAGGUCAAGGGCAUGGCAGAAACUGAAAAAAUAAAAAUGAUUCUUUGUUUGUUUUGAAUCGUUGUUUGAUGGUGAACUGGGUCUUGGGUCGCUGCACUUAAGUGUAUUUGAUAGUAAGUAAAUUUGGAUUGUGAAUUCCAACAUGGGGUUACAAUCCACAAAAGGAACUUUGCC